UACGUAGGGCGCAAGCGUUGUCCGGAAUUAUUGGGCGUAAAGAGCUCGUAGGCGGUUUGUCACGUCGGCUGUGAAAACCCGAGGCUCAACCUCGGGCCUGCAGUCGAUACGGGCAGACUAGAGUGCUGUAGGGGAGACUGGAAUUCCUGGUGUAGCGGUGAAAUGCGCAGAUAUCAGGAGGAACACCGGUGGCGAAGGCGGGUCUCUGGGCCGAUACUGACGCUGAGGAGCGAAAGCGUGGGGAGCGAACAGG
rnacentral:rRNA from 1 species